rnacentral:snoRNA from 1 species
ACCUCUGGAUUCCUUACAUUUCAGAUCUAAAUAUUGGUUUGAGUGGCUAAAAAAGGAGAAAAGAAUAAAACUAAAGUGGAUCUCAAGUCUUUAGUGACAUACAAGUUCAUUUCAAACACAU